UACGAGGGGGGCGAGCGUUGUCCGGAAUUAUUGGGCGUAAAGGGCUCGUAGGCGGUUUGUCGCGUCGGGAGUGAAAUCCACUGGCUUAACUGGUGGCUUGCUUUCGAUACGGGCAAACUGGAGGUAUGCAGGGGAGAACGGAAUUCCUGGUGUAGCGGUGGAAAUGCGCAGAUAUCAGGAGGAACACCGGUGGCGAAGGCGGUUCUCUGGGCCUUACCUGACGCUGAGGAGCGAAAGCGUGGGGAGCGAACAGG
rnacentral:rRNA from 1 species